UUGCAACAUAAAUACUUUUGCUUUAUUGUCAUUUUAUUCUCAUUGUUAGAUAUUCUGGAGCAGGCGUAAGUCUUUUAAAACUCAUUUUUUUGCCUCUCGGAAGUAAAUAUUUC
ensembl:ncRNA C48E7.12 ncRNA